CGGACGGGUGAGUAAUGUCUGGGAAACUGCCCGAUGGAGGGGGAUAACUACUGGAAACGGUAGCUAAUACCGCAUAACGUCGCAAGACCAAAGAGGGGGACCCUAGGGCCUCUUGCCAUCGGAUGUGCCCAGAUGGGAUUAGCUAGUAGGUGGGGUAAUGGCUCACCUAGGCGACGAUCCCUAGCUGGUCUGAGAGGAUGACCAGCCACACUGGAACUGAGACACGGUCCAG
rnacentral:rRNA from 1 species